UACGUAGGGUGCAAGCGUUACUCGGAAUUACUGGGCGUAAAGCGUGCGCAGGCGGUUAUGUAAGUCCGUUGUGAAAUCCCCGGGCUCAACCUGGGAACUGCAUCUGUGACUGCAUAGCUAGAGUACGGUAGAGGGGGAUGGAAUUCCGCGUGUAGCAGGGAAAUGCGUAGAUAUGCGGAGGAACACCGAUGGCGAAGGCAAUCCCCUGGACCUGUACUGACGCUCAUGCACGAAAGCGUGGGGAGCAAACAGG
rnacentral:rRNA from 1 species